GAACUGUAACGAGGACAUUCUGGCAAGCUGAUUUAUUCAUCUUGACCUCCGCUGUGGUUAAUCCACCCGAGACAAAGAUCAGCUUCUGACAAACACUGCUUUCCUUUCCCUCAGAUAGGAAAGAAAUUCAGCAAGUUGCUUUCCGUCUCUGGCUUAGGUGUGCUUGAGAAGGAAGAUCCUGAGAGGAAAGAAGCAAAGAGCAUCUGUCCCUGGUUAAUCUCUGUGUGUUCACCGGCACUGCAUCCUGGUGUACUUGAUCAACUGGAUGCAUUUCACCAUCUUGAAGCUCUCCAAUACUAAAGAAGUUUUAAAAGAUGCUGAGGAGCCUACAGUCCAUACUGGAACAGUCCAUGACACACCACAGGCUCAAAGCAAUGGGCUCAAGAGAUCAUCGGCUAAAAACUUGGAGACUCUGAGAAAAAAAUGAAUCUUUCCUCCUUGACAGCAGUGUCAAGGACAUUCUGAACGUGUGGAGAGAAGUCACCAGUGACCCUCCUGACGAAGAUUCCAGUACUAGCAGGAGGCCAAGUAACCCCACACCAAUUUCCUCUUUAGUGGAGGCUGACUGGCUUUCAGUGUAUCCUUUUUGCUUGACUCACUAAGGAGCACCUCUUUGCCUUCUACAGGGAGAGUCAAAAUUCCCUGUCCCUUCUGCCAGAUACUGCCAGAGGGGCUUUCCCCCUUUGGCUCCUGGCUGAAAGCAUGGCUAAUCUGGCUGACUGAUAACAACAACAGUAAAUUCUGUAGUAACUGAACAGAGAAGAAAGGUGUGAAAAGAGGCAAGUUGACUGAUGAAUAGCAGAUCACUGCCAUCCUACAAGGAAACUUCUAGAAUGUUGAACAUUAGAGAGGAAGAAGCCCAGGGAGGAAAUAACAAAGUUCAGGAUACAGGGUUGUCGGAAGGCCUCCCUUAUUGUGCCAGAGAAGUUAAAACAGCUUGUGAGAGUACAGAAUAUCACUUCAAUUUCUCAUCAAAGUCAGGAGACCAUCUUCUCAGGCUGAACAUUGCAUAUACCAUUGGCCAGUGGGGCUUCCCAGCCAUGGCUGCCACUAAAGCCCAGAGAUGAUUUUAACAGCUGUUCUUACAAAAAUAUUUUCAACACUAGGGUACUGGAAAAGCUAGAGCUGAAAAAUAGAAUAUAAAGUCUCUUUAGAAUAAAAGGAAAUGCCUAGAAGCCCGGUAAUGAAUGCCACAGCUUACUAGAAAGGCAGAUUUAAAGAAUAAGGAGACACAUGUUAAGAGCUCAAAUUGAAAACAGGUGCUACAGCCAUCUCAAGGAGCCAUAGACUGUCAGAACUGGAGGAUACCCAAGGGCAUGGCAUCCAAUUCCCACACUUGAUGUUCCAGGAAACCCAGGUCACCAGAAGUGAAGUGACUUUUCAUUGCCACCCGCUGUUAGUGUCAUAUUAAUCUCCUAAUUCAAAAGUUAGUCUUCUCUGACCCAAAUUCUUCUGGGCAAGGUUCAAAUAAAUAUCUGCUUUGUUUUACAAAAGCUAUCAUAAAA
rnacentral:lncRNA from 1 species